AGUGCCUGCAGGGAAGCCACUAAGCGUGGGAACAGUAGCUGAGUGCACAGUAGGAAGUGUCCCUGAUGCCAGUCAGGAAGGAGAGCACUGACAGCCAGGCAGGUGUCGCAGGAGGGAAGCCUGGUGGAGUAGGUGGGGCUGGGAGAAGUGCUCUCUGGACCUGGCUGUCUGCAGCCCCACUGCUCAGGCUCAGACCCCGUGCUCCCUGCUUAGCAGCUCUGAGGAGGUCUACGUGUGGUGACUCAGGCAACCCUGAAAUCCUGGGGCUUGGUCCCGAUUCUUGUUCUCAAGCAAGCCCUUAUUGUCUCAGACAGAUGGAGCCAGUAACUUACAGGGGAGAGCUAGGCGGGGUGCCAUGGUAAGCCGUUCACAUGCCAGGUUUAGAAAAUAGCCCAUAAGCCACAGCACCCUGUGGUGGCUAAGUGCCAGCUGUGAGCUGCAUGCCCACCCGCUGUCCAUCCCGAGUUCCUGGCUCCAGCCCGGAGGAGGAGCACCCCCAUUAGACAACCACAAGUUCCCUGAGCUUUGGAAACUCCGCCCCUGGCCAUGUGGUAAUAGAGCUCGGUAAAAUAGCUUUCCAGGCUGCUCAGUGGAACACUUGAGCAGAUCAGAAAUGUUGUGCCCCUAUCUUGGCAGUAGAUUCACAAUUCACACUAGAACAUAUAAGGCUCUGACAAGAGUUUACGUAAAUAAACCCGUGGCUUCACCCGGUAUCCCACACAGGCGCUACACCCACCAGGCUCCCUCUUCCUGGAGGCCCCAACGAGCCAACCUGGUGCUCUUUGGAGCACAGUUUGGGAAACUACUAUGAAAGCUUUUGAAAGGCUGCUGCUGAAGACAGGCUCCCUUGGAAGCUGUACUGCACCUGCUGGGAAGGUGUCUCAGAGGAGGGGACAUUCUUAGCAGGACUCCUCCAGUGAGGCAGCCAGGGUAGAGGCUCAGUUUGGGCUUAAAAGGCAGAGAUUACCUUCAGCCUCAAACCCAGACCACCCAUUCAUUACCAGGAUUCUGCACUGUGGUUUCAGCCUCAAGCAGGACUAAUAAAGGGUUCAUUUCUUUUC